rfam:Danio rerio chromosome 4, GRCz11 reference primary assembly.
GCAUUGGUGGUUCAGUGGUAGAAUUCUCGCCUACCACGUGGCAGACCCUGGUCCAGUUCCUGGCAAAUGCA